rnacentral:lncRNA from 1 species
GACAAAGGGGCUUGGGUUGAUAAAACAAGAAAUUAAAAAGGCAAGAAUUGUAAAUCAAACAACUAAAGAAAGAAAUUACUAAAGAGAGACAUUCAUGGUAAGGAUUGAGAAUCUAGGCUUUCUAUCCUAGUCAUUAAUUAUAACACAAUAAUUAACAAAAGCUAAUCCUAUUUCGUCAUCUCUAACAUCGGAAGAAGGUACAAUAUUAUUUUCAAGAGCUAAUCCUAUUGCAUCCAUAUUUUACGAUAAUUUUUUGUUAGAAUUGAGUGGAUUUCAUCAUAUAAACCUACACUUAUUCCAUUAAAUAGCAUGCUUUUGAGCUUUCUUCCUAAAUUGUGCUUGAUUAUGAAAAUAUGCUCUUUUGUGUCUAAUUUAACCUAAUUUUAUUCCAUUUGCCUUCCAUUCGAUACCUUGAUGUUGUUUGUGAGUGAUUUCAGAUGUAUAAGGUAGGAAUGGCUUGGUGAGAAUGGAAGAAGAGCAUGCAAGAAGGAGGAAGCAUGAAGAAACAAAGGAGAAAAGCAAAUUGAUGUGUGCGUGCGUACAGCCUCUUGUGCGUACGCAAAGGUAGCAAAUCAGAGCUAAGUACAGCCUCUUGUGCGUACGCACAGGUAGCAAAUCAGAGCUAAGUGUGCGAGCGCACAGCAUCUGGCGCAUCGCACAAGCAUCCUAAGAAUCGCAAAGUGUGUGUGCGCACAACCUGUGAAUUCGGCCAAGUGUGCGUGCACACACGUCUGUGCGUACGCAUAGGUGCCCGCACAUGCCUUCAUUAAAAAUGCACGUGACUCGCAUUUUGAGGGGCUUGGAGGCCCAAUUCUGAUGCUAAGAGCUCAUAUUGGAAGGGGCAAACCUUGGAGAAACAUAGCAUAUCAUUAGGGUAGUUUUUAGAAUAGUAGUAGGAGGU